rnacentral:sRNA from 1 species
GCGGGGCGCGGGGCCGCGGUGCCCAGAGGCUGCGGCACUAGGGGCUCGGCGCCCCCGACCUUCCGCGUCCCGGGGUGGCGGCGGCGGCGGCGGCGGCGCGGGCGGCAUAUGAUGCUGAGCUGGCUGCUCCAGAAUGAACCACAGCUCUGAGAAGGGGAAGUAGAAACAGCUGGCGCCCUGCCAUGGCCUGUGAACCACAGGUGGACCCGGGGGCCGCUGGCCCAUUGCCCCCCUCCUCUCCUGGUUGGAGUGCCCUGCCUGGAGGGAGCCCUCCCGGCUGGGGGCAAGUAGCCUCCUCCUUCUGGCCUUAGUUCUGCCUCCUGGGGGCUUCCCAGUCAAAUCCAGUCCUUCUCUCAAGAGGAUUUGAGGAUGGCCACAGUGUCCCUCCUUGUUGCGAGGAGGUUCUCAUGGCCAGAGGUGGGAUGCCGUCAGGCUUUGGGCUCACCCCACAAGCCUUGUAUGGUUAUCACUCAGCCAGAUGAAGCUUCUGGUCUGCUUCCAGAGCUCCACAAUGGCCAGGUCCUCACUGUUCUCCGGAUUGACAAUACCUGUGCACCCAUCUCCUUCGACCUGGGAGCCGCAGAAGAGCAACUGCAAACUUGGGGCAUCCAGGUCCCGGCCGACCAGUACAGGAGCUUGGCUGAGAGUGCCCUCUUGGAGCCCCAAGUGAGAAGAUAUAUCAUCUACAACUCGAGGCCUAUGCGGCUGGCCUUUGCUGUGGUUUUCUACGUGGUGGUGUGGGCCAAUAUCUACUCUACCAGUCAGAUGUUUGCCUUGGGGAACCACUGGGCUGGCAUGCUGCUCGUGACCCUGGCCGCAGUGAGCCUGACCUUGACUCUUGUGCU